GACGAACGCUGGCGGCGUGCCUAAUACAUGCCAGUAGAACGCUGAAGGAGGAGCUUGCUCUUCUGGAUGAGUUGCGAACGGGUGAGUAACGCGUAGGUAACCUGCCUGGUAGCGGGGGAUAACUAUUGGAAACGAUAGCUAAUACCGCAUAACAGUAGGUGUUGCAUGACAUUUACUUAAAAGGUGCAAUUGCAUCACUACCAGAUGGACCUGCGUUGUAUUAGCUAGUUGGUGGGGUAACGGCUCACCAAGGCGACGAUACAUAGCCGACCUGAGAGGGUGAUCGGCCACACUGGGACUGAGACACGGCCCAGACUCCUACGGGAGGCAGCAGUAGGGAAUCUUCGGCAAUGGACGGAAGUCUGACCGAGCAACGCCGCGUGAGUGAAGAAGGUUUUCGGAUCGUAAAGCUCUGUUGUAAGAGAAGAACGAGUGUGUGAGUGGAAAGUUCACACUGUGACGGUAUCUUACCAGAAAGGGACGGCUAACUACGUG
rnacentral:rRNA from 1 species